CGCAGCCGCGGUAAUUCCAGCUCCAAUAGCGUAUAUUAAAGUUGUUGCAGUUAAAAAGCUCGUAGUUGAAUUUUGGGGUUAGUAGGUUGGUCAUGCCUCAGGUAUGCACUGGUCUCACUGAUUCCUCCUUCCUGAUGAGCCGUAAUGCCAUUAAUUUGGUGUUGCGAGGAAUCUGGACUGUUACUUUGAAAAAAUUAGUGUGUUUAAAGCAGGCUAACGCUUGAAUACAUUAGCAUGGAAUAAUGGAAUAGGACGUUUGAUCCUAUUUUGUUGGUUUCUAGGAUUGACGUAAUGAUUAAUAGGGAUAGUUGGGGGCAUUAGUAUUCAAUUGUCAGAGGUGAAAUUCUUGGAUUUAUUGAAGACUAACUACUGCGAAAGCAUUUGCCAAGGAUGUUUUCAUUAAUCAAGAACGAAAGUUAGGGGAUCGAAGACGAUCAGAUACCGUCGUAGUCUUAAACCAUAAACCUAUGCCGACUAGGGAUCGGAUGGAAUUGUUAAUUAUUUAAUGACUCAUUCGGCG
rnacentral:rRNA from 1 species